UACGGGGGGAGCAAGCGUUGUCCGGAUUUAUUGGGCGUAAAGAGCGUGUAGGCGGCCAUGUAGGUCCGUUGUGAAAACUCGAGGCUCAACCUCGAGACGCCGAUGGAAACCAUGUGGCUAGAGUCCGGAAGAGGAGAGUGGAAUUCCUGGUGUAGCGGUGAAAUGCGCAGAUAUCAGGAAGAACACCCGUGGCUAAGGCGGCUCUCUAGUACGGUACUGACGCUGAGACGCGAAAGCGUGGGGAGCGAACAGG
rnacentral:rRNA from 1 species